UACGUAGGUGGCAAGCGUUGUUCGGAAUUACUGGGCGUAAAGCGUGCGCAGGCGGCGCCGCAAGUCGAGUGUGAAAUCCCCGAGCUUAACUUGGGAAUUGCGCUCGAAACUACGGUGCUGGAGUGUGGCAGAGGGAGGUGGAAUUCCACGUGUAGCGGUGAAAUGCGUAGAGAUGUGGAGGAACACCGAUGGCGAAGGCAGCCUCCUGGGCCAACACUGACGCUCAUGCACGAAAGCGUGGGGAGCAAACAGG
rnacentral:rRNA from 1 species